UACAGGGGGGCAAGCGUUGUUCGGAAUUACUGGGCGUAAAGGGUCUGUAGGUGGCCAACUAAGUCAGACGUGAAAUCCCUCAGCUUAACUGGGAACUGCGUCUGAUACUGGAUGGCUUGAGUGUGGGAGAGGAAUGCGGAAUUCCAGGUGUAGCGGUGAAAUGCGUAGAUAUCUGGAGGAACACCGGUGGCGAAGGCGGCAUUCUGGACCAUAACUGACACUGAGAGACGAAAGCCAGGGGAGCAA
rnacentral:rRNA from 1 species